UACGUAGGGGGCGAGCGUUGUCCGGAAUCAUUGGGCGUAAAGCGCGUGUAGGCGGCUCGAUAAGUCUGCUGUGAAAGUCCAGGGCUCAACCCUGGGAUGCCGGUGGAUACUGUCGGGCUCGAGUCCGGAAGAGGCGAGUGGAAUUCCUGGUGUAGCGGUGAAAUGCGCAGAUAUCAGGAGGAACACCAAUGGCGAAGGCAGCUCGCUGGGACGUGACUGACGCUGAGGAGCGAAAGCGUGGGGAGCGAACAGG
rnacentral:rRNA from 1 species